CCCUAUGGGGCGCAGCAGAUAUUCUACACUGAUCCCAGUGUUCUGACCAUCUUCAUGCAUGAAUCCGGAUUGUACCUCUUUCCAGGCACGGGAUUCAUAGAGGAGAUAGGAGAGGGUGAGGGAAAAGGAUACAGCGUGAACAUCCCCAUGCCCAUGUACUCAGGAGACGAGCAAUACCUCCGGGCCAUCGAUCAGAUCGUUCCAGCCCUCUUUGAAUGGUUCCGGCCCCAGGCAGUGGUAGCCCAGCUGGGGAUAGACACCCACUAUUCCGAUCCCCUCACCAGCCUUAACGUGACACUUAACGGCUAUACCGGCCUCGUCCGCAGGAUAGUGGAUCUGGCCCGCCGGCACUCAGGGUCCCGGCUGCUGGCCCUGGGCGGGGGGGC
rnacentral:rRNA from 1 species